rnacentral:rRNA from 1 species
CUACGGGCGGCUCCAGUGAGGAAUAUUGCACAAUGGGGGGAACCCUGAUGCAGCAACGCCGCGUGGAGGAUGACGCAUUUCGGUGUGUAAACUCCUUUUAUAUGUCAAGAAAAUGACGGUAGCAUAUGAAUAAGCACCGGCUAACUCCGUGCCAGCAGCCGUGGUAAUACGGAGGGUGGCAAGCGUUACUCGGAAUCACUGGGCGUAAAGGACGCGUAGGCGGGUUGGAAAGUCAGGUGUGAAAUCCUACAGCUUAACUGUAGAACUGCACUUGAAACUUCUAAUCUAGAGUAUGGGAGGGGGAGAUGGAAUUAGUGGUGUAGGGGUAAAAUCCGUAGAUAUCACUAGGAAUACCUAAAGCGAAGGCGAUCUCCUGGAACAUUACUGACGCUAAGGCGUGAAAGCGUGGGGAGCAAACAGGAUUAGAUACCCGCGUAGUC